rnacentral:rRNA from 1 species
UACGUAGGGGGCAAGCGUUGUCCGGAUUUAUUGGGCGUAAAGAGCUCGUAGGCGGUUUGGUAAGUCAGGUGUGAAAUCUCCACGCUCAACGUGGAGGGGCCACCUGAUACUGCCAUGACUGGAGUCCGGUAGAGGAGUGUGGAAUUCCCGGUGUAGCGGUGAAAUGCGCAGAUAUCAGGAAGAACACCAAUGGCGAAAGCAGCUUUCUGGGACGGUACUGACGCUGAGACGCGAAAGCGUGGGGAGCGAACAGG